UACCCGCAGCACAAGUGGUGGUCAUUAUUAUUGGGCCUAAAGCGUCCGUAGCUGGCUUGUUAGAUGCCUGGGUAAAUCGAUGCGCUCAACGUAUCGAACUCCGGGUAGACCGGCAAGCUUGGGACCGGGAGAGGCGUGAGCUACUCGAGGGGUAGGGGUAAAAUCCUGUAAUCCUUCGGGGAGGACCAGUGGCGAAGGCGUCCCGCUAGAACGGCUCCGACAGUGAGGGACGAAGCCCUGGGGCGCAAACCGG
rnacentral:rRNA from 1 species